UCCACUAUAAUGUCUGAUAGAAUCACUUUUCCUUUCUCCAUUAUUGACCUCACUUCUUAUCUUUCACUCGUACAAGACAAGAAACUAUUUAAUACUACAGAGUACUACUUCCAAGGCAACUUCAUACUUGUGGAUUUAAGCAAAAAGCUUGCAAACUCAUACGGGAAGUAACACUGGUAUGAACGGCUUACUUGACUAAGACAGCUUAGGUAAUUGUUAGUUCGUUAAGAUAUUUAUCUAAAUUAUACUAUUAUGUAUGAACAAUUCUCCUUCCAAGUGUUCUGCAGUAUAUUGACUGUAUUAAUCUGAAUCUAUAGUUUAAAAAAGAGAUGCCUGAUCUUGAGUCGUUUUCUUGUUGCUGAUAUAGAAAGAUUUCACUAUAAUUUUAAAGAAAGAAAAUGCUAAUUUAUGUUAGAACACAAAACUGGAAAAUAAAGAUUGCACAGAAUCCUUCCUAAUUUCUGAUUUAUAUGAAGCUUCAGUGCAGUCAUCUUGUCAAUGUCUCUGUGGGACAAAUAUAUAUAUAUAUAUAUAUAUCAUCACCCACAAGUAAGCAGUUGCAGGGUGCUAAGCUCAAAUUGGGACUAAACCACUGGUAUCAAAGCAUAAGGUACAAGACAUACUGAUCAUCAAUAUCAUCUAAUAAUGCCUUGGAGAUGAAAGAGUUAAGUAUACUGUUAAUCAAUCAUCGAGCAUCUAGUAUAGAUAGAGUCAUUUUAUUUGUUGAAGAAGAUACAUGCUUGUCUGAUGAAGAAUCUUCUUCAAGUGGACUUUUUUGAAACAAAAAACCAGGUUGUUUGGGGUGUAGCAAAUCAAUUUCAAUUCCCAACAUCAGAAUCACAGAUGACAUACUUGGCUUAUCCUCAGGAUGCUGUUGUACACAAAAAAGACUAAUAUGGAUGCAUCGUAUCACUUGUGAUAGAUUGCAAAGCUCUCCUAAGCAUUCUUCAACAUGUUCUGAAGCACUGCCUUCUUUUCAUAAUCUCCAUGCUUGCAGCAAAUUGAAUCCCUUUUAGGUUUUAUCAAUCCAAGAUAAGCAAAAAAAAAUUUUGAUUAUAAUAAAUUUGCUGAAACUGACAUGUUCAACAAGGUUGCCGCUCUGUGUUGGAUGGUAAAGCCUUCUAUUUUUGUUCCCUUUUAUAAUCUCCAGCAAUAAUAUACCAAAGCUAAAGACAUCUAAUUUUACUCAAAACAAUCCUUCAAUAGCAUAUUCUGGUGCCUUAUAACCACUACUGCAGAACAUCAUCAAAAGCAAUAAAAAUAUGAGGAUUUGUAGACAUUAUGAAAAUAAAGUGACACUAAGUUUCAACCACUCUUUUAGUGUUACCUUGUUAGAGUUAAAGCAUGCAUUGACUUUAUCAUUUUGUUUAUUAUGUAUUUUGCUUCAUUGUACUGGUUGUUAAGUGUUGUACACUAGUGUUUAUGAGGGGUCUUUGUCCAUGGUUAGCUUUACAACACUUGUCUCUUAUGUUAAUAGGUGUUAAUCUUGUAUAGCUUGUAUAAAUAUUUUGGUCAUAGUUGAAUACAGUGUGUGUGAAUAUUAGCAAAUUCCUCUCUGUUUUUUUUCCUCUCCAUACCAGAGCAGUAUAUGAUCUCAUCUGCUCUAUUAUAGUUUCAUUCUUCUUUCACAGUUUCUUUACAUGGUAUCAGAGCAAACAACUGAUCUUUGUGCCUGUUAAAGCUCCCUCUUACUCAUCAAAAGCUCAUUCUUCGGCAAAAUGUCAGCCUCAACUGUCACACAGCAAACCGUACCCAUUUUCAAUGGCUCUAACUAUCCUGUUUGGGCCAUUAGAAUGAAAGCAUUCCUGAAAGGUGUCAAUCUAUGGAAUGCACAGAAUGAAGAAGUUUAGCCCUUGCAAAGAGCCUUGUGUUUGAUGGCAAUUCGGUUCUUUCUUAUUAGCCCGUUCAGAUUACCUUAAGAAAGGAAGGCGAAAUGAGAAAUUAAACCAAAAAAGACAAAAGAAAAAGUUAAAUUGUUGAAGAAAUAAGAAUUGUGAUUACAUUUCUGUUCCAGCACGGAACCUUGAGAUUCAUCAAUUCUGUCCUACUUAUCGGUAUGAUUAUUAGUUAAGACCACUGAAACCAUUCUAUAAAUCUCAACUCUUAUUGCAGAUAAAGAAAACUAUCUUCAAAACUGGC
rnacentral:lncRNA from 1 species